rnacentral:rRNA from 1 species
UACCAGCACCCCGAGUGGUCGGGACGAUUAUUGGGCCUAAAGCAUCCGUAGCCGGUUCUACAAGUCUUCCGUUAAAUCCAGCUGCUUAACAGAUGGGCUGCGGAGGAUACUAUAAGACUAGGAGGCAGGAGAGGCAAGCGGUACUCAGUGGGUAGGGGUAAAAUCCGUUGAUCCAUUGAAGACCACCAGUGGCGAAGGCGGCUUGCCAGAAUGCGCUCGACGGUGAGGGAUGAAAGCUGGGGGAGCAGACCGG